rnacentral:lncRNA from 1 species
GAAAAUAAUAUAACUAAAAGAUAUUAGAACCCACAAUAUUUAUAGAAAAAUCUACAUUGAGAAUAUUGCAGAGUAUCUUUCCACGCAAUUGCACCUUAUAUAACCUCCUUAUAUAACCUAGAUAUUGACACACCUCACGGUAAAAAAGAGAUUGCUAUGGCUAUGGUUACAAACAGCAAAAUCAAUUUGUUGAACUAUCUCAAACCUACUAAAACGGCUUGGAAGGUUGAAGUCAAAGUUAUUAAUUCGUGGAAACAACACUCAAACUAUCCUAAAG